UAAGGAACUCGGCAAAAUAGCCCCGUAACUUCGGGAGAAGGGAUGCCCCCUCACAAAGGGGGUCACAGUAACCAGGCUCGGGCAACUGUUUACCAAAAACACAAGUCUCCGCAAAGUCGUAAGUCCAUGUACUCUAAAAAAGAAAUAAGAUAACUUCAUUCCAUUUCCA
rnacentral:ncRNA from 1 species